CAAAGGUAGCAUAAUCAUUAGUUUUUUAAUUGAAAACUGGUAUGAAGGGUUGGACAAAGGAAAAGCUGUCUUUAGAAUAUAAAUUGAAAUUUACUUUUAAGUGAAAAGGCUUAAAUAUUUCGAAGGGACGAUAAGACCCUAUAAAGCUUUAUAUGUUGUUUAAAUUUAAUUAAGUUAGAUGAUAAAGAUUAAAGUUAAAUAUUAUAUUUUGUUGGGGCGAUGUGAGUAUAAUUUAUUUUAACUGCUUAAAAGAGCUACAAUUAUAAGUGAUUUAUAUGAAAAUGAUCCUUUAUAAAGAUUAAAGACUAAGUUACUUUAGGGAUAACAGCGUUAUUUCUUUUGAGAGCCCAUAUCGAAAAAGAAGUUUGCGACCUCGAUGUUGAAUUAAAAUGUCUAUAUAAUGCAGCCGUUAUAAAAGAAGGUCUGUUCGACCUUUAAAAUUUUACAUGAUUUGAGUUCA
rnacentral:rRNA from 1 species